CAAGAAUAAAGACAGCAAAUAAAAUUAAAUAAAUAAAAAAAAAUUUUAAUUUUAAAGUUUGAUUUUAUCCGAGAUAUCUUUAUCCACAAAAACAAAACCUUAUCAACGGUGGGACUUAAUCUAAAUUUUUAAAUCUAUUGAAGUCAAAUUUAUAAGUCUCAGAAUCUUCUAAUGUAUUUAUGUUGAACCAUACAAAAUUACACUUAAC